GCUGGGUGUGGUGGUGCACACCUGUAGUCCCAGCUACUUGGAAGGCUGAGGCGGGAGGAUCACUUGAACCCAGGAAGUUGAAGCUGCAGUGAGCCAUGAUUGCACCACUGCACUGCAGCCUGGGCAACAGAGUGAGACCCUGUCUCUA
ensembl:misc_RNA Metazoa_SRP Metazoan signal recognition particle RNA